rnacentral:rRNA from 1 species
GACGAACGCUGGCGGCGUGCUUAACACAUGCAAGUCGAACGGAAAGGCCCUGCUUUUGUGGGGUGCUCGAGUGGCGAACGGGUGAGUAACACGUGAGUAACCUGCCCUUGACUUUGGGAUAACUUCAGGAAACUGGGGCUAAUACCGGAUAGGAGCUCCUGCUGCAUGGUGGGGGUUGGAAAGUUUCGGCGGUUGGGGAUGGACUCGCGGCUUAUUAGCUUGUUGGUGGGGUAGUGGCUUACCAAGGCUUUGACGGAUAGCCGGCCUGAGAGGGUGACCGGCCACAUUGGGACUGAGAUACGGCCCAGACUCCUACGGGAGGCAGCAGUGGGGAAUAUUGCACAAUGGGCGGGAGCCUGAUGCAGCAACGCCGCGUGCGGGAUGACGGCCUUCGGGUUGUAAACCGCUUUCGCCUGUGACGAAGCGUGAGUGACGGUAAUGGGUAAAGAAGCACCGGCUAACUACGUG